CACUUUGCUGUUUACCAGAAACUAACACAACACUGUAAAUCAAUUGUACUUCAAUAGAAAAUAAAAAUAAAUAAAUAAUCAAGAAAAUAGAGUUCUAGAGACCUCACUAGAUUUAAUCAUUGUACUUUCAAUAAUAAAUUCCUUUUUACUUUCCUUUGGCUUCUGGUAGAACUCCCAGCUGCGCUAAGGCACACAAGAGGAGGGGAGCAGGGUGUCUGGCAGAUGGUAACCAGGAGAGGGUGAGGAAGAGGGGAUGGCGAAUGGCAGCAGGAAUCCAGGCCAAGAUGCAGCCCAUGACAAAAAGGAGCCGGUGGAGUACUUAGUGUGGGGAUUUGAUGCGGGUGCUGACACCUUGACCACCUUUCUCUGACCAUAUGCCUGCAUCUGCACCUGUUACUGCACCUGCAACUCUGAAUCCACCUUUUCCUGGGUCAGGGUGCUGUGCUAGGUGGUCACCCAGCCUAGGGCCCUAUAGAACC